rnacentral:tRNA from 1 species
UUAAUUGAAACCAAAAAGAGGUAAAUUAUUGUUAAUAAUUUAAAUGAAAAUAAUUUUCCAAUUAAU